GUACCCUCAAGCUCUGCUUGGUGUUGGGUGUUUGUCCCGCCUUUUGCGUGUGGACUCGCCUUAAAGCGAUUGGCAGCCGGCAUAUUGGCCUUGGAGCGCAGCACAUUUUGCGCUUCUAGUCACUUAUUGUCAGCAUCCAUCAAGUACAAUUCUAAC
rnacentral:misc_RNA from 1 species